AAAAAAGGUAAGCUACUAAGAGCGAAUGGUGGAUGCCUUGACUGGUAAAGGCGAUGAAGGACGUACUAGACUGCGAUAAGCUACGGGGAGCUGUCAAGAAGCUUUGAUCCGUAGAUUUCCGAAUGGGGCAACCCAAUGUAUAGAGAUAUACAUUACCUAUAUAGGAGCGAACGAGGGGAAUUGAAACAUCUUAGUACCCUCAGGAAAAGAAAUCAAUAGAGAUUGCGUCAGUAGCGGCGAGCGAAAGCGCAAGAGGGCAAACCCAGUGCUUGCACUGGGGGUUGUAGGACUGCAAUGUGCAAGAGGUAAGUUUAGCAGAACAUUCUGGAAAGUAUAACCAUAGAGGGUGAUAGUCCCGUAUGCGAAAAACAAACCUUAGCUAGCAGUAUCCUGAGUAGGGCGGGACACGAGGAAUCCUGUCUGAAUCCGGGUCGACCACGAUCCAACCCUAAAUACUAAUACCAGAUCGAUAGUGCACAAGUACCGUGAGGGAAAGGUGAAAAGAACUGAGGUGAUCAGAGUGAAAUAGAACCUGAAACCAUUUGCUUACAAUCAUUCAGAGCCCUAUGUAGCAAUACAGGGUGAUGGACUGCCUUUUGCAUAAUGAGCCUGCGAGUUGUGGUGUCUGGCAAGGUUAAGCAAACGCGAAGCCGUAGCGAAAGCGAGUCUGAAUAGGGCGCUUAGUCAGAUGCUGCAGACCCGAAACGAAGUGAUCUAUCCAUGAGCAAGUUGAAGCUAGUGUAAGAACUAGUGGAGGACUGAACCCAUAGGCGUUGAAAAGCCCCGGGAUGACUUGUGGAUAGGGGUGAAAGGCCAAUCAAACUUCGUGAUAGCUGGUUCUCUCCGAAAUAUAUUUAGGUAUAGCGUUGUGUCGUAAUAUAAGGGGGUAGAGCACUGAAUGGGCUAGGGCAUACACCAAUGUACCAAACCCUAUCAAACUCCGAAUACCUUAUAUGUAAUCACAGCAGUCAGGCGGCGAGUGAUAAAAUCCGUCGUCAAGAGGGAAACAACCCAGACUACCAGCUAAGGUCCCUAAAUCUUACUUAAGUGGAAAACGAUGUGAAGUUACUUAAACAACCAGGAGGUUGGCUUAGAAGCAGCCAUCCUUUAAAGAAAGCGUAAUAGCUCACUGGUCUAGUGAUUUUGCGCGGAAAAUAUAACGGGGCUAAAGUAAGUACCGAAGCUGUAGACUUGCACACAACUUAGAUUAUUUAAGUUUAGAAUAUGAGAAACUAAGUUAUAUGUUUAGUUAUAUUUUUACUGGUUUUUAUAGAGUAAAGAUAGAAAUAAAACUUAGUAAAAUCAGUAAAAAUAUUCUUAGACUAAAGUUAAGUAGUUUAAGUUGUGUGCAAGUGGUAGGAGAGCGUUCUAUUUGCGUCGAAGGUAUACCGGUAAGGAGUGCUGGAGCGAAUAGAAGUGAGCAUGCAGGCAUGAGUAGCGAUAAUUAAUGUGAGAAUCAUUAACGCCGUAAACCCAAGGUUUCCUACGCGAUGCUCGUCAUCGUAGGGUUAGUCGGGUCCUAAGUCGAGUCCGAAAGGGGUAGACGAUGGCAAAUUGGUUAAUAUUCCAAUACCAACAUUAGUGUGCGAUGGAAGGACGCUUAGGGCUAAGGGGGCUAGCGGAUGGAAGUGCUAGUCUAAGGUCGUAGGAGGUUAUACAGGCAAAUCCGUAUAACAAUACUCCGAGAACUGAAAGGCUUUUUGAAGUCUUCGGAUGGAUAGAAGAACCCCUGAUGCCGUCGAGCCAAGAAAAGUUUCUAAGUUUAGCUAAUGUUGCCCGUACCGUAAACCGACACAGGUGGGUGGGAUGAGUAUUCUAAGGCGCGUGGAAGAACUCUCUUUAAGGAACUCUGCAAAAUAGCACCGUAUCUUCGGUAUAAGGUGUGGUUAGCUUUGUAUUAGGAUUUACUCCGAAAGCAAGGAAACUUACAACAAA
rnacentral:rRNA from 1 species